GGAUCCUUAGCUCAAUCAGUAGAGCAGCCGGCUGAAGACCGGCAGGACCGGGUGCAAAGCCUGGAGGAUCCA
rnacentral:tRNA from 1 species